rnacentral:misc_RNA from 1 species
GAAAUUGAUCACAUGUAAUGGUGCAUCUCCUGCAGAAGAAUCAGAGAUGGAAAUAUCGAAGAAGAUUUCGAUUAUAGGAAGGCCUACUACCGUUAAGGAGCUUUUUGAGACUGGUUUGCUCGAGGGCUAUCCAGUUUUCUAUAAUGGUGGCAAGAGGGGAAUUCCACUGAGAGGAACAGUCAAAGAUAUUGGAAUUCUAUGUUCUUGUGAUCUGUGCAAGAGUAUCAGGGUUGUUCCUCCUGGCAAAUUUGAGAUCCAUGCAUGUAAAACUUAUAGACGUGCAUCACAAUAUAUCUGCCUGGAAAAUGGAAAGAGUCUCCUUGAUGUGGUCAAAGAAUGUAGGAAAGGUUCUUUGAAGAACUUGGAAACAACAGUUCGAAGCUU